UACGUAGGCAGCAAGCGUUGUCCGGAAUUAUUGGGCGUAAAGAGCUCGUAGGCGGCCUGUUGCGUCCGCUGUGAAAGCCCGGGGCUUAACCCCGGGUCGGCAGUGGAUACGGGCAGGCUAGAGGUAGGUAGGGGAGAAUGGAAUUCCCGGUGUAGCGGUGAAAUGCGCAGAUAUCGGGAGGAACACCGGUGGCGAAGGCGGUUCUCUGGGCCUUACCUGACGCUGAGGAGCGAAAGCGUGGGGAGCGAACAGG
rnacentral:rRNA from 1 species